GACGAACGCUGGCGGCGUGCUUAACACAUGCAAGUCGAACGAUGAAGCCCAGCUUGCUGGGUGGAAGAGUGGCGAACGGGUGAGUAACACGUGAGUAACCUGCCUAUCACUCUGGGAUAAGCGCUGGAAACGGCGUCUAAUACUGGAUACGACCUAUCACCGCAUGGUGUGUGGGUGGAAAGAUUUAUCGGUGGUAGAUGGACUCGCGGCCUAUCAGCUUGUUGGUGAGGUAAUGGCUCACCAAGGCGACGACGGGUAGCCGGCCUGAGAGGGUGACCGGCCACACUGGGACUGAGACACGGCCCAGACUCCUACGGGAGGCAGCAGUGGGGAAUAUUGCACAAUGGGCGCAAGCCUGAUGCAGCAACGCCGCGUGAGGGACGACGGCCUUCGGGUUGUAAACCUCUUUUAGUAGGGAAGAAGCGUAAGUGACGGUACCUGCAGAAAAAGCACCGGCUAACUACGUGCCAGCCGCCGCAGUAA
rnacentral:rRNA from 1 species